UUGAAGAGAUGCCCAAAAUAUUUAAAUUGCACAUGGAAGUAGGUGCUGGUGUUAGAAGGAAGGCUCAGCCUAAAGACCUGCCUGAAACACUAAGUCCUCUUGGUCUCCAUUUCCAUUAGAGCCACCUACACCCACAUUGAAGCCCUGCUCUGAACAGAGCAGACUGGGUGUGCAGACUUACCCCACUUCACUUAGUAAUUUGAGGUCUCGCUACCUUUUCUGGCCAUAGUCCUUCCAUUUUUGGCUCCACGACAAAUGGCAAAAUGACCAUCUGCCACUAGGAUUUCACUAAGCCUUGCGUCUCUGGCUGUGGUCUCUGGCUGCUCCCCACAUA